UACAGAGGGUGCGAGCGUUGUCCGGAAUCACUGGGCGUAAAGGGCGCGUAGGUGGCGACCCAAGUCAGUGGUGAAAGCUCGACGCUCAACGUCGAGUCGGCCACUGAUACUGGGUUGCUCGAGCACUGUAGAGGCUAAUGGAAUUCCGGGUGUAGCGGUGGAAUGCGUAGAGAUCCGGAAGAACACCGGUGGCGAAGGCGGUUAGCUGGGCAGUUGCUGACACUGAGGCGCGACAGCGUGGGGAGCAAACAGG
rnacentral:rRNA from 1 species